GCAAAGUUAGUGCCAAAUAAGUGUUAACUGUGGCUUUCUUUCUUCUCUCUCCUCUCUCUCUCUCUCUCACACACACACACACACAUGCAGGCACAAGCAGAUUCUACUACAAAUACCUGUCUUCUGCUAUAGGACCAUACUCUCACCUGACAUCAUACUCAGUCCAGUCAACAUUGCUCGGGAAGAUGUGGCUUCUUCUAGUCUGACACAGAAUAAUGAAUACGUGCAGAACCCAGUAACCUCAAGGGCCUCAACAAAGUCUGAGAUGAGGAAACCGAGGCUUGUGCAAUUCAGGUGAUUUCCCCAGCAACAGCUAAUGCUUGUCAAUUGACCAGGAAGAUGCAUUCGUUGG
rnacentral:lncRNA from 1 species